ACGUCUUAGUUUUCACCCCAUCCAGUAGGGGGCGGCAAUACACCAUAGUUCGAUGUAGUCUGCCCUAAAACAACACCGAAGAAGAAGAGCGAAAUGGGAGGAGCCAUUGGACACGUUGUUUUAGAUGUGUUGCUUGCGUGCUACAGAAAUUCAUCCAAAGUCUUUACUAAAGUCCUAAAAUUGCUCUGUGGAGAUCGUAACGACUGGUGUUUGCCAUUUUCUGUCAUGUCAAAGCCGUUCAAAGUUUCCAAACCUGGAACGAUAACUUUUUAUCAGUUGGGCAAUAACGAAGUCUUUGACACCCCAAAACUAAUGCAAGGGCUCGAAGAAAACUAACCUGGCAUUUGUCGUUAGCAAGUUAACGUUAGAUAGCUACAGUAGCUUGCUGGCUACAUUUUAGCAGGUUAUCUACUUAAGAAAAGUGUAAACUAGCAAAAAAUGUCCUAACACUUACUCGCGCACUUUGAUCCUGUAAAGGAGUGGCUUGUGAGCUGAAGUGAGGCGAGAUGAUUUUGAGAAAAAUACCUGCGAGAACAUGCAGAGCGUGGCUGUCUCGGCCAGGAGCGAUGCUUUUACUCCUCCGUGCCCGUCCAACCAGUGCCCCCGCUGAUCCAGACUCUGCAGGGGUACCUACGAGCCCUGGAGCCUCUGAUACCUGAAGAAGAGCUGGUCCACACCCGCAAGAAGAUCCAAAAGUUUUGUGGAGAGGGGGGACUCGGUCCGCAACAUCAAGAGGGACAGAAGAGAUGAGCUAGACACUCAAACCAUUGGAUAUCCGACUGGUGGGUGCAGUGGGUGUACCUAGAGAGCAGACAGCCCUUGCCCGUGCAUUCUAGCGCAGCCAUCUCCCUGCCUAAGCAAGACUUCUCAGACUGGAGGGGCCAGCUUGUGUGAGUGCCAGGACAAUGACCCAAGACACACCUCCAGGCUGUGUAAGGGCUA